rnacentral:rRNA from 1 species
CAUUACCGAGUGAGGGCCCUCUGGGUCCAACCUCCCACCCGUGUUUAUUUUACCUUGUUGCUUCGGCGGGCCCGCCUUAACUGGCCGCCGGGGGGCUUACGCCCCCGGGCCCGCGCCCGCCGAAGACACCCUCGAACUCUGUCUGAAGAUUGUAGUCUGAGUGAAAAUAUAAAUUAUUUAAAACUUUCAACAACGGAUCUCUUGGUUCCGGCAUCGAUGAAGAACGCAGCGAAAUGCGAUACGUAAUGUGAAUUGCAAAUUCAGUGAAUCAUCGAGUCUUUGAACGCACAUUGCGCCCCCUGGUAUUCCGGGGGGCAUGCCUGUCCGAGCGUCAUUUCUGCCCUCAAGCACGGCUUGUGUGUUGGGCCCCGUCCUCCGAUCCCGGGGGACGGGCCCGAAAGGCAGCGGCGGCACCGCGUCCGGUCCUCGAGCGUAUGGGGCUUUGUCACCCGCUCUGUAGGCCCGGCCGGCGCUUGCCGAUCAACCCAAAUUUUUAUCCAGGUUGACCUCGGAUCAGGUAGGGAUACCCGCUGAACUUAAGCAUAUC